rnacentral:rRNA from 1 species
GGAAAGAUGAAAAGAACUUUGAAAAGAGAGUUAAACAGUACGUGAAAUUGUUGAAAGGGAAACGAUUGAAGUCAGUCGUGCUGGUGCGAAAUCAACCAUCUCGUCUUGAGGUCGCAUGGCGCGACGAGCCUCAAAACCGUCACGAAGCGUGAACUCUUGACGAAAAGGUGCACUUUCGUGUCCGCUGGUUAACAUCAAUUUCGAUCGUCAUAAAAAGGCUGGAGGGAUGUGGCUCCUUCGGGAGUGUUAUAACCUUUAGCGGAAUGUGGUGUUCGGGAUUGAGGAUUGCAACGAAUACCUUCAGGGCUGUUCCACCUGGCUUCUCAUUGGUAUCCUGGUGACGACAGCUUGCUGACUUUGCUAGGAUUCGCCUCUGAACAGGCUAGAGUGUGAGCAAAUUCGUUAAGGAUGUUAACGUAAUGGCUUUAAACGACCCGUCUUGAAACACGGACCA